AGGGGCUUGGGCUGCGACGGCGGCAGUGGGGCUGAUGGAACAUGGCUGGGAUUUCAGACAGUCGGGCUGUGGGGUGGGAGCCAGACAUCAGGGGGCUGACAGAAGAGUGGGAGGUGAGGAACAAGGAGCCACAAACCAAGACAACUCUCUCUAGACUGGGCAGUGAAGCCGAAACGGGAGGUGCAGCCAGGGAGGGGUUUUGUUAUUUUCAAGAUGGGCAAGACUCGAUCCAGUUCACGGCUGAUGGGAAAGGCCCCUCGGGAAAGCAGACACCAAUGACUAGAUAACAGGGGCAGGGAAAUGGUUAAGGAGGGUCUCUGAGAAGAAGGAACUUGCAGGGACCCAGAGGGGAAGGUCUUGGGGAGGAGGGGGGAUCCUGCUCUGCUGAAGUAGGUUUACCAGCUUGGCGAGGGGGAAUUGAAGAGAUCCCCUGCCACGACCGACCGACGUGACAGCCUCCCUCUUCUGUGAAGCGGAAGAUGACAUCAUCUGUGGGAAGUGUGGGGGUUGGGGGACAGUCUGAGGGAGAAGAGGCAGCUUCAGUCGACUUCUGGGGAGGAAGAGAGACUGGCCAAGAUGCCAGGGCUGAGGCCUGGGGCUGCAGCAAACACAAGUCUAAGGGCAGUGCCUGGCACAGCCAUGACGGAAAGAUUCACGCCUGCAGUGAGGAAGACCCUCAAGGUGGCAGCGUCUGUGUUCCUGAUCCUCCCCAAUCAGCGCAUGCUCAGCCCAGCCUCCACAGCCAUCCCACCCCCAUCUCCCAAGUCGCUCAGGCGCUUUCCUCUGCCGGCCACACCCACUCUCCGCUCGUCUCAUCUGUGGUCAUCCUGCUCACCCUUCCAGCUCAGCGCCGGGCCUGUUCCUCCUCGGAGUCCUCUCUGAAACGCCCCCCACCUGCCACAGGCCAAAAUGUGUGUGUCCCUUGUCCUUCCAUUCCCGAGAGACUGAACUUCUGUGAGUUCUAGUUGCCGUUCUUGCUAUUUCCCGUGAAAACACUUGACAGUGAAGCAGAGACACCUUAUACAGCACUUGCACAGAAAGUUCCCUAUCCAGCUGCGUCCCAGAGUGCCUUCAGCAGUGCGAUGCACUUAGCAAGUACACAGGAAUACAUGUGAACAGAUGAGAGAUUUCAUCCUCGAUCUGUAAGGAUGCUAACAGUCUCGGCGCACUAAUUCAUAAACUGUGGUGCUCUUGUUUAUGACAUGACAAGGGUGUCUGUCUCCUUGGCAAACAUAGUCUGUCUCUUCAAGUUUAUUCCACCUUUAUUUGAGAAACCAAUGAACACCUUGGGCAUGGGCUGAAGGUACAGAUCGUGUUGCCAGUGUAGCAGACGAACCACUAUGGAGGAGAAAAGGAAUUUCUCCUGGAGCUGAGAUUUUCCAACACACUCAGCAACACCUGCUCUUGGGCUGCUAAAUGAGAUUUUUUUUUUUUUUUUUUUUUUUUUUUUUUUUUUUUUUUU
rnacentral:lncRNA from 1 species